rnacentral:lncRNA from 1 species
AGAAAAUUGUAUUAGUAUCCAACCAUAAAACUGAAAAAAAGAUUCAUUUGAAAAUGUUCCAAAUUUACAUACCUACAGAACUGAAUUAUAACAAACAAAAAAUCACACUGCUUCUGCUGUAUAUGCAGAGGAAUCUAUGGUCUUUAUUCUCUAGACAUUGAGGUGGUUAUAAAGAUAAAUUAUAAGUGAUAGCAACAGAGGGUUCACAUUUUGUGCACUCCUCAGGCCACUUUGCUGUCAGAUGACAUCUUCACUCUUCCUCUUCUAUCUUCUUGCCAUGAAACUCCCGGCUCUUUGCUCGGAGCUUGUUGACCUGUGACUCUGCAAUGUCAGCCCGCUCCUCGGCUUCCUCCAGCUCAUGCUGGAUCUUGCGGAACUUGGUGAGGUUGACAUUGGACAGCUCCUCAGCCUCCUCAGCUUGUCUCUUGUAGGAUUUCACCUUCAUCUGCAGUUUGUCCACCAGAUCCUGGAGUCUAAGAAUGUUCUUGCGAUCUUCCUCAGACUGGUAUGUCAGCUCCUUCACCCUCCUCUCGUACUUGCGCACACCCUUCACGGCUUCAGCGCUGCGCUUCUGCUCAGCAUCAACCUCCCCUUCCAGCUCCCGCAC